GGGAAGUUGGCUCAGUGGUAGAGCACUUGCCUUGCAUGCCUGAGGCCCUGGGUUCGAUUCCCUAGCACCACA
rfam:Dipodomys ordii contig_36112, whole genome shotgun sequence.